rnacentral:rRNA from 1 species
UACGUAGGGGGGCUAGCGUUGCUCGGAAUCACUGGGCGUAAAGCGCACGUAGGCGGCUUGUUAAGUCAGGGGUGAAAUCCUGGAGCUCAACUCCAGAACUGCCUUUGAUACUGGCGAGCUUGAGUUCGGGAGAGGUGAGUGGAACUGCGAGUGUAGAGGUGAAAUUCGUAGAUAUUCGCAAGAACACCAGUGGCGAAGGCGGCUCACUGGCCCGAUACUGACGCUGAGGUGCGAAAGCGUGGGUAGCAAACGGG